rnacentral:rRNA from 1 species
UACAGAGGGUGCAAGCGUUAAUCGGAGUUACUGGGCGUAAAGGGCGCGUAGGCGGUUAUAUAAGUGAGAUGUGAAAUCCCUGGGCUUAACCUAGGAACUGCAUCUUAUACUGUAUAGCUGGAGUAUUGUAGAGGGUAGUGGAAUUUCCGGUGUAGCGGUGAAAUGCGUAGAUAUCGGGAGGAACACCUGUGGCGAAAGCGGCGCACUGGACCACAACUGACGCUGAGGCGCGAAAGCUAGGGGAGCAAACAGG